rnacentral:misc_RNA from 1 species
CGAGUUAGGGUCCUCUAGGCCCGACCUCCCAACCCUUUGCUUACCGAACCUCUGUUGCUUCGGCGGGCCCGUCUCACGACCGCCGGAGGACCGCCGCAGGGCGUGUCCUCUAGCCCGUGUCCGCCGAUAGCCAACUAAAAACUGAAACAAACCGAAUCGUA